CCUACGGGAGGCAGCAGUGGGGGAUAUUGCACAAUGGGGGGAACCCUGAUGCAGCGACGCCGCGUGGGUGAAGGAGCGUUUCGGCGCGUAAAGCCCUAUCGGCAGGGAAGAAGGAGGACGGUACCUGACUAAGAAGCCCCGGCUAACUACGUGCCAGCAGCCGCGGUAAUCCGUAGGGGGCAAGCGUUAUCCGGAUUUACUGGGUGUAAAGGGGGCGCAGGCGGCAGCGCAAGCCAGGAGUGAAAGCCCGGGGCCCAACCCCGGGACUGCUCUUGGAACUGCGCGGCUGGAGUGCAGGAGAGGGCGGUGGAACUCAAUGUGUAGCGGUAGAAUGCGUAGAUAUAUGGAAGAACACCAGUGGCGAAGGCGGCCGCCUGGCCUGUUACUGACGCUGAGGCACGAAAGCGUGGGGAGCAAAUAGGAUUAGAUACCCCUGUAGUC
rnacentral:rRNA from 1 species